rnacentral:rRNA from 1 species
GUGCCAGCAGCCGCGGUAAUACGGAGGGUCCAAGCGUUAUCCGGAUUUAUUGGGUUUAAAGGGUGCGCAGGCGGCCAGGCAAGUCGGAUGUGAAAGCCCGGGGCUCAACCUCGGAACUGCAUUCGAAACUGCCUGGCUAGAGAACGGAAGAGGAGAGUGGAAUACCCAGUGUAGAGGUGAAAUUCGUAGAUAUUGGGUGGAACACCGGUGGCGAAAGCGGCUCUCUGGUCCGGAUCUGACGCUGAGGCGCGAAAGCGUGGGGAGCAAACAGGAUUAGAAACCCGUGUAGUCC